GCGGGACAGCGAGGGGGUUAGGGGUCCCUUAUGCGCAAGCAUUCGUUGAAUCCCCUUAAUACGACGCCGUAGCCGGGGGCGGUCGGCUCGCAGCGUUCGGGCCCGGACAGUCGGCGACGACGCUUUGCCUCGCGUUACCCUCCGUUUUGCGAACCGAGCCAGGCCGGAAGGAGCAACUCUAAGCAUUUCGGGGAGUGCUCGCGAGAUACAAGGCCGAGCACGGGUUCGGAUCACUCGCACGUUGCAAGCCGCACAAACUCGGUGGCCCGC
rnacentral:misc_RNA from 1 species